rnacentral:lncRNA from 1 species
AGAAAUUCAUUUCAUUUAGAUUUAAUUGCAAAUUACAAGCAUUCCAUUUCUAACAUAACAUUGCAUCAACUAAAUGCAUAACAAAAUCAGUGGACUUUCAUAAUUCAUUCACUAUUAACACCUAACUAACUCACAAAUCGAAAUUAACAAAUAACAUAUUCUCUUUUCAUUUAACAUCUCACAAAUCCCUAAACUAAUAACUAACUAACCAAAUCCUAUAGCUAACUUUUAACAGAU